UAGAAAGGAGCUGUGGUUGGCCUGGGAUGG
rnacentral:piRNA from 1 species